CGCGUUUUAUUUAUUUUAUUCUCCACUCGCGCGUUGAGUCACAUCCUCCUCCUGAUCAUUGCAUCAUCUCCGUCGCCGCGGUCCAAAACGCUCCGGCCACUUUGUUAGGGAAAAUUCCGAGAAUGGCUACGGUGAGUGUUGGCAGAUACCGUUUGUUCGCUGCGGCUCUUGGAGAAUGCCUAGACGCAGGAAGAGUUGGAGGAUCUGUGUUUCCGUUUCGGUAUUACUCUCUGGUUUCUAUAACAACAACAAGUCAGAUUUGAAGUUGAAAAAAAUAUCUACACAUAAUUGAGAGCUCCCAACGGUGCACAUUCAGCAAUUAGCCUGCAGACAAAGAAUGUCUUCAUUGAGUAUUUUUGAAAUAGGUGAUGUGGCCUUAUUGAAUGAAACCAAAGACGUAGGUGCAUCCAAUCGUCGCCAUCUCGCUGCACUGCACUGUGGUGCUACAUCUCGAUUUGCGGU